GUCUCAGUAUCCUACAAAGGCCAAGAAUAUAUAUUGAUAAAUUUAUUCUAACACAUAUUCUACUUUCUAGCAUAAAGUCACCCACUAAUUUAAAUUUGAAAACCUAGAUACUCUGAUUACCUCAUAAUAAAAAUCACUUGAGAUGCACUGCCGUGGGUUUACACAGCCUUCAACUUUUCAAAGUAUUUUUCGACCCGUCACCAUGCUAGAAGGCACUGAUGUCACAAAUACCAGUCUACAUUUGGUUCUGGAAAAAGAUUUUCAUGUACAUAUUUUGUCCAAAUAUUACUAUUUGUUUCAUGAAAGUCAGAGCUAAGACUUU
rnacentral:lncRNA from 1 species